rnacentral:rRNA from 1 species
UACGAAGGGGGCUAGCGUUGCUCGGAAUCACUGGGCGUAAAGCGCACGUAGGCGGCUUUCUAAGUCAGGGGUGAAAUCCUGGAGCUCAACUCCAGAACUGCCUUUGAUACUGGAGAGCUUGAGUCCGGAAGAGGUGAGUGGAACUCCGAGUGUAGAGGUGAAAUUCGUAGAUAUUCGGAAGAACACCAGUGGCGAAGGCGGCUGACUGGUCCGGUACUGACGCUGAGGUGCGAAAGCGUGGGGAGCAAACAGG